rnacentral:rRNA from 1 species
UACCAGCACCCCGAGUGGUCGGGACGAUUAUUGGGCCUAAAGCAUCCGUAGCCGGUUUUACAAGUCCUCCGUUAAAUCCAGCUGCUUAACAGAUGGGCUGCGGAGGAUACUAUAAGACUAGGAGGCAGGAGAGGCAAGCGGUACUCAGUGGGUAGGGGUAAAAUCCGUUGAUCCAUUGAAGACCACCAGUGGCGAAGGCGGCUUGCCAGAAUGCGCUCGACGGUGAGGGAU